ACGGUUAUCCAAACGGUUCAAUUUAACUGUGUAGAGUAGCUUGUAUUUUAGCGAGGAAAAUAAUCGUAUUUACGUUAGCAUUUGCAGUUGGCUUAAGAUGGGCUUUGUGACUCUGGCUAAUAAUCUGUAGUAAGUCAUGGAAAUCUUAGACACAGAACGCUUUACAGAAAGCGUUUUCAAAGAAUCGUUACAAUCGUCUAACUUUUUAUUGUUAGUUACAUCAAUUCAAAGGUUUCAACUCUUCGAGGUUAAUAAAGGUUUUGCAGCAUUUUUUAAACCUGACUUUGUGAAAGGUGAAAGUAAAAAUGUUAAAAUACUCACGAUCUUUAUUUGAAUUGGAAGUACUGUUCCAACAAAAAAUAUAAUGACGCAACCGUCAUUUUCAAAAUGGUGACGACUUCCGGCUCCAUUUUGAUCAUACUGCGUACUCACAAUUUCAAAGCUAUAUCAUCUAUUCGCUAAAAAAAACUUUAAGAAUAAAUUAUUAUGAACAAGUUGCAGCAUCAUAGACAAACAUGGAUUUUCGAAUAUUCUUCCACAUCAUGGAAAACUAAAUUAAAAAGAUUUGGAUGAAGCCGACACAGUUCCGAAAUGAAAGCAUUCGAACAAAGAAAAAUCUGCGAAACGCUUCCUGUGAUACGAUGAUCAUCAAUAUUAGUGGGCUCUGAAUCAUAUUUCCGUUUACACUGUGUUCGACAAUGAAUUACUAUACUGGCAAUUUUCCUCUUGGCAAAAUCAUCUUUCGGCCGUUGGUUUCCCGAAAAUGCGGAACAGCGUAGGAGGAUGCGAUCCGGACAAUUAAAAGCAAAGACUGCAGGAUGCUAUCGAGCAUUCCCUGUGCUAUUAUGCCCUCGACUGGCGUCGUCAACAGCUACGAUUAACCGUAACUGCUAGACGGAGGACGACUCGGUCGACCUCGUAACUUUCAGAAAUAACUGUCCCAUCAGUCGCGCUCGUCUGAUAUACUUUGAAUCGGAGUUCUGAGAACGAGGAUAAUCCUAAACGUCUCGUGUUAUUAAUAUGCCUUCAAUAACUUCGUGAACUGUGGUUGUUGGAUGCUAAUUUUACGGAAGAAAGAUAAAACUAGAAUAAUAUCGCUUGUGCUGAAUAAGUUCGCUUCAGGCGAGCUCUUUUCAUUCAUAAGAUGUUAAUUAAGAAAACCUGUUAUCUAUGAUAUGAAUGCUAUCAGAAUUUAGAGACUGUAUCGUAUCAGA